rnacentral:rRNA from 1 species
CCUUUGCUGAGGAUACGGUUAACGGAGCGAAAGCGACGUUCAACCUCAAAAGAAGCAGAGGGGGCUUAGUGGUGGGGUGACUGCGUACCUUUUGUAUAAUGGGUCAGCGACUUAUAUUCUGUAGCAAGGUUAACCGAAUAGGGGAGCCGGAGGGAAACCGAGUCUUAACCGGGCGUUAAGUUGCAGGGUAUAGACCCGAAACCCGGUGAUCUAGCCAUGGGCAGGUUGAAGGUUGGGUAACACUAACUGGAGGACCGAACCGACUAAUGUUGAAAAAUUAGCGGAUGACCUGUGGCUGGGGGUGAAAGGCCAAUCAAACCGGGAGAUAGCUGGUUCUCCCCGAAAGCUAUUUAGGUAGCGCCUCGUGAAUUCAUCUCCGGGGGUAGAGCACUGUUUCGGCUAGGGGGCCAUCCCGGCUUACCAACCCGAUGCAAACUGCGAAUACCGGAGAAUGUUAUCACGGGAGACACACGGCGGGUGCUAACGUCCGUCGUGAAGAGGGAAACAACCCAGACCGCCAGCUAAGGUCCCAAAGUCAUGGUUAAGUGGGAAACGAUGUGGGAAGGCCCAGACAGCCAGGAUGUUGGCUUAGAAGCAGCCAUCAUUUAAAGAAAGCGUAAUAGCUCACUGGUCGAGUCGGCCUGCGCGGAAGAUGUAACGGGGCUAAACCAUG